CAGCCGCCGCGGUAAUACGUAGGGGGCGAGCGUUACCCGGAUUCACUGGGCGUAAAGGGGGUGUAGGCGGCUCGGUAAGUCGGGUGUGAAAUCCCACGGCUCAACCGUGGAAUUGCGCCCGAAACUGCCGAGCUUGGGGCCGGUAGAGGGAGACGGAACUGCCGGUGUAGGGGUGAAAUCCGUAGAUAUCGGCAGGAACGCCGGUGGGGAAGCCGGUCUCCUGGGCCGCGCCCGACGCUGAGGCCCGAAAGCUAGGGGAGCAAACCGGAUUAGAUACCCGGGUAGUCCUAGCCGUAAACGAUGCCCACUAGGUGUGGGGGAGUAUUUCCUCCGUGCUGGAGCUAACGCGUUAAGUGGGCCGCCUGGGGAGUACGCCCGCAAGGGUGAAAUUUAAAGGAAUUGGCGGG
rnacentral:rRNA from 1 species